AGGCUACAGACAUCGGUUCGUGCCGGUAGCAUUCACCAUCUAAGCCAGUAACCUACAUUCCGGCAGCCGGCUCCUUAAUCUCCCACUGCCACACUGGACUGGGGAACCUUCCUGCAGCCACCGUAGCUUCUGUCCAGGUGUGCCACGGCCCCAAGUAGCACUCAGUGGCUCUUCAUUCAUUAGCCAAAGUGCCACUACUACAGGCUCACCAGAACAACGGAGAGUCUUGCAACUGUCUACGGGACAGGUCGCUGGAUCUGACUCCUCCUCUUCGCGCACUGCAUGCCGUAUUAUGAGUGGUGACGUGCACCUCACCAUUUGCAUUGAUCCCUUUUUGCAGUGCCUGUGCUGUGUUGUGUGCAGGACGUGUGAGUAGGCACCAGAAUCAAGAGCACGGGUGGCGUGUCGGUCUCACUCCUUUUCCAGGACGGGUAACCCCCUGCAACAACUGCUCCCUAUAAACCCCAUCAGUGUCCCCUACCAUUCUGGUGGCAGCCAUUAUCCUCCCUCUUGCCGUAUUCCAUAUUUUAUUGUGAUUUAGCCAUGUUUAAAUAAAUAUAAAUUUUUCUAUUCUUAUACCA
rnacentral:lncRNA from 1 species